GACGAACCGUGCGAACGUUGUUCGGAAUCACUGGGCUUAAAAGGGGCGCGUAGGCGGGCAAGCAAGUCCGGGGUGAAAUCUUUCGGCUCAACCGGAAAAGUGCCUUGGAUACUGCUUGUCUCGAGGGAGGUAGGGGUUGCUGGAACUUCCGGUGGAGCGGUGAAAUGCGUUGAUAUCGGAAGGAACGCCGGUGGCGAAAGCGAGCAACUGGAUCUCUCUG
rnacentral:rRNA from 1 species